rnacentral:rRNA from 1 species
CAGCAGUGAGGAAUAUUGGUCAAUGGGCGGGAGCCUGAACCAGCCAAGUCGCGUGAGGGAAGACGGUCCUAUGGAUUGUAAACCUCUUUAGGCGGGGAGCAAUGCCGGGCACGUGUGCCCGGAGGGAGAGUACCCGCAGAAUAAGCAUCGGCUAACUCCGUGCCAGCAGCCGCGGUAAUACGGAGGAUGCGAGCGUUAUCCGGAUUUAUUGGGUUUAAAGGGUGCGUAGGCGGAUUUUUAAGUCAGCGGUAAAAUGUCCGGGCUCAACCCGGGCCGGCCGUUGAAACUGGGGAUCUUGAGUGGGCGAGAAGUAUGCGGAAUGCGUGGUGUAGCGGUGAAAUGCAUAGAUAUCACGCAGAACUCCGAUUGCGAAGGCAGCAUACCGGCGCCCGACUGACGCUGAGGCACGAAAGCGUGGGGAUCGAACAGGAUUAGA